CACGCCUGGCACCUGGUCAGUGCACGAGCACAUCUGCUGAGUAAAUACCUGAGCGUCGCAGGGGAAGCACGUGCGCUUCCCAGGGAAAGGUGGGCCAAGGGCAUGUGGGGAAACAGGGGAGUAGAUGUGACCAGCUAGAAGCCAAGCUCAGGCAACUCGUCCGGGGACGUCUCCGGUGUGCUCCACCUUCACUAUGGAUCCUGAGGAUUCAGCUAAAAUAAGGUCAGCAGAUCCACCAGAGUUGGACCCAGUGCUUACCGUAGCAGGAUUACGGAGUGUUUCAGGGCGUACGACGUUAUGGAGUCAGACUGUCUGGGUUCAAGAUACAGAUAUCCAGCCUUGUGACCUGGAAACCUAAUGCUUCAGCCCAGAUCUUAUGAUGGCUGACAAACAGAAUUCCUUCAACGCAGACCAGGCUUGGAAUCCAAUAGACUUUCU